rnacentral:rRNA from 1 species
GGUUAAGCGACUAAGCGUACACGGUGGAUGCCCUGGCAGUCAGAGGCGAUGAAGGGCGUGCUAAUCUGCGAUAAGCGCCGGUAAGGUGAUAUGAACCGUUAUAACCGGCGAUACCCGAAUGGGGAAACCCAGUGUGACUCGUCACACUAUCAUUAACUGAAUCCAUAGGUUAAUGAGGCGAACCGGGGGAACUGAAACAUCUAAGUACCCCGAGGAAAAGAAAUCAACCGAGAUUCCCCCAGUAGCGGCGAGCGAACGGGGAGGAGCCCAGAGCCUGAAUCAGCAUGUGUGUUAGUGGAAGCGUCUGGAAAGGCGCGCGAUACAGGGUGACAGCCCCGUACACAAAAGCGCAUGUGCUGUGAGCUCGAUGAGUAGGGCGGGACACGUGGUAUCCUGUCUGAAUAUGGGGGGACCAUCCUCCAAGGCUAAAUACUCCUGACUGACCGAUAGUGAACCAGUACCGUGAGGGAAAGGCGAAAAGAACCCCGGCGAGGGGAGUGAAAAAGAACCUGAAACCGUGUACGUACAAGCAGUGGGAGCACAGGUUUACCUGUGUGACUGCGUACCUUUUGUAUAAUGGGUCAGCGACUUAUAUUCUGUAGCAAGGUUAACCGUAUAGGGGAGCCGGAGGGAAACCGAGUCUUAACCGGGCGUUAAGUUGCAGGGUAUAGACCCGAAACCCGGUGAUCUAGCCAUGGGCAGGUUGAAGGUUGGGUAACACUAACUGGAGGACCGAACCGACUAAUGUUGAAAAAUUAGCGGAUGACCUGUGGCUGGGGGUGAAAGGCCAAUCAAACCGGGAGAUAGCUGGUUCUCCCCGAAAGCUAUUUAGGUAGCGCCUCGUGAAUUCAUCUCCGGGGGUAGAGCACUGUUUCGGCUAGGGGGCCAUCCCGGCUUACCAACCCGAUGCAAACUGCGAAUACCGGAGAAUGUUAUCACGGGAGACACACGGCGGGUGCUAACGUCCGUCGUGAAGAGGGAAACAACCCAGACCGCCAGCUAAGGUCCCAAAGUCAUGGUUAAGUGGGAAACGAUGUGGGAAGGCCCAGACAGCCAGGAUGUUGGCUUAGAAGCAGCCAUCAUUUAAAGAAAGCGUAAUAGCUCACUGGUCGAGUCGGCCUGCGCGGAAGAUGUAACGGGGCUAAACCAUGCACCGAAGCUGCGGCAGCGAACGUAUCACUUAAAGCGAUUCAGCGGGUUACGAUUGACGGAGCGAAGCGACGUCAAAGCGUAUACAAAGUCGAGUCGGUUUAAGGAUACGUUCGUUGGGUAGGGGAGCGUUCUGUAAGCCUGUGAAGGUGUGUCGUGAGGCAUGCUGGAGGUAUCAGAAGUGCGAAUGCUGACAUAAGUAACGAUAAAGCGGGUGAAAAGCCCGCUCGCCGGAAGACCAAGGGUUCCUGUCCAACGUUAAUCGGGGCAGGGUGAGUCGACCCCUAAGGCGAGGCCGAAAGGCGUAGUCGAUGGGAAACGGGUUAAUAUUCCCGUACUUGGUGUUACUGCGAAGGGGGGACGGAGAAGGCUAUGUUGGCCGGGCGACGGUUGUCCCGGUUUAAGCGUGUAGGCUGGUUUUCCAGGCAAAUCCGGAAAAUCAAGGCUGAGGCGUGAUGACGAGGCACUACGGUGCUGAAGCAACAAAUGCCCUGCUUCCAGGAAAAGCCUCUAAGCAUCAGGUAACAUCAAAUCGUACCCCAAACCGACACAGGUGGUCAGGUAGAGAAUACCAAGGCGCUUGAGAGAACUCGGGUGAAGGAACUAGGCAAAAUGGUGCCGUAACUUCGGGAGAAGGCACGCUGACACGUAGGUGAAGUGAUUUACUCAUGGAGCUGAAGUCAGUCGAAGAUACCAGCUGGCUGCAACUGUUUAUUAAAAACACAGCACUGUGCAAACACGAAAGUGGACGUAUACGGUGUGACGCCUGCCCGGUGCCGGAAGGUUAAUUGAUGGGGUCAGCGCAAGCGAAGCUCCUGAUCGAAGCCCCGGUAAACGGCGGCCGUAACUAUAACGGUCCUAAGGUAGCGAAAUUCCUUGUCGGGUAAGUUCCGACCUGCACGAAUGGCGUAAUGAUGGCCAGGCUGUCUCCACCCGAGACUCAGUGAAAUUGAACUCGCUGUGAAGAUGCAGUGUACCCGCGGCAAGACGGAAAGACCCCGUGAACCUUUACUAUAGCUUGACACUGAACAUUGAGCCUUGAUGUGUAGGAUAGGUGGGAGGCUUUGAAGCGUGGACGCCAGUCUGCGUGGAGCCGACCUUGAAAUACCACCCUUUAAUGUUUGAUGUUCUAACGUGGACCCGUGAUCCGGGUUGCGGACAGUGUCUGGUGGGUAGUUUGACUGGGGCGGUCUCCUCCUAAAGAGUAACGGAGGAGCACGAAGGUUGGCUAAUCCUGGUCGGACAUCAGGAGGUUAGUGCAAUGGCAUAAGCCAGCUUGACUGCGAGCGUGACGGCGCGAGCAGGUGCGAAAGCAGGUCAUAGUGAUCCGGUGGUUCUGAAUGGAAGGGCCAUCGCUCAACGGAUAAAAGGUACUCCGGGGAUAACAGGCUGAUACCGCCCAAGAGUUCAUAUCGACGGCGGUGUUUGGCACCUCGAUGUCGGCUCAUCACAUCCUGGGGCUGAAGUAGGUCCCAAGGGUAUGGCUGUUCGCCAUUUAAAGUGGUACGCGAGCUGGGUUUAGAACGUCGUGAGACAGUUCGGUCCCUAUCUGCCGUGGGCGCUGGAGAACUGAGGGGGGCUGCUCCUAGUACGAGAGGACCGGAGUGGACGCAUCACUGGUGUUCGGGUUGUCAUGCCAAUGGCACUGCCCGGUAGCUAAAUGCGGAAGAGAUAAGUGCUGAAAGCAUCUAAGCACGAAACUUGCCCCGAGAUGAGUUCUCCCUGAGACUUAAAGUCUCCUGAAGGAACGUUGAAGACGACGACGUUGAUAGGCCGGGUGUGUAAGCGCAGCGAUGCGUUGAGCUAACCGGUACUAAUGAACCGUGAGGCUUAACCUUACAACGCCGAAGAUGUUUUG